UGCUCCCACCCCUAGCAAGCACUGAUUGUCGCUGCACUUUUGUCUUUUCCAGACUGUCACAGAAAUUAAAUUAUACAGUAGGUGACUUUCAUUGCUGAAUGUUACAUAUUAGAGAACUUUGCCACAGAAACAGAGAAGGCUACAACCUAGCCUACAAUCUGCAAGGCCUUGGGAAUAGCUGCAAAUAAACCUAAAAUACUUUUAAUUUGCUCUUAUAUGACACAAACUCAUGCUACACCUGAUUCAUUUUUCUGCGGCAGGAUACUUAGACAGUGCAUGCAUUUUUCCUGCUGGAGGUUUUAUUCCAUAAACUGCUGAAGAAGCCAUUGGCCAUGAUGAACAACGGUAAACACUAAUGAGCCUCAACUCUGCGCCAGAUAUUUUCCUAGUGAGAUUUGAAAGCAGAGUCACUCAAACGCAAACACACCUGGUGGGAUUUCACUUCGAAUCUCUGUGAAGAAGGCGUGUACUCUUCCACUUGAGCAUUCGGUCAUAGAAAAUGGCACCUGCCCACUCAGCCAAUGCUCUUGCACCCAAAGAUGUGAAGUCCAACCCUCAGCACUGCAACUGGAAAAAGAUGAGGGGUGGGAAACUGGGUGGGCACCCCAGGACCUGCUCUGGCUCACAGCCUUGGAUCAGGAAGGUAAUAUAGGAGUGAGGGGGAGAGAUAACGAUAAAUGCCUUAAUUGGAUCUGAUGCUGAGGGAAAAAAGACCAAUCCUAUGCAAAAAUAUGAAAAUCAUGUAUCUUUAGUGUCUGCCUCUCCACUUUGCAUUCUCUUUGGCUCCAUGGAAACAGUAGUUCCUGGUCACUUACCUCAUGUUAUGGGUGUUUCUUUAUCCACCCACUAAGAAAAUUUGUUCUUGAGAAGAGAAUAUAGCCUUGUUCAAUUUAA